UACGUAGGUCCCGAGCGUUGUCCGGAUUUAUUGGGCGUAAAGCGAACGCAGGUGGUUUAUUAAGUCUGGUGUAAAAGGCAGUGGCUCAACCAUUGUAUGCAUUGGAAACUGGUAGACUUGAGUGCAGGAGAGGAGAGUGGAAUUCCAUGUGUAGCGGUGAAAUGCGUAGAUAUAUGGAGGAACACCGAUGGCGAGAGCGGCUCUCUGGCCUGUAACUGACACUGAGGCUCGAAAGCGUGGGGAGCAAACAGG
rnacentral:rRNA from 1 species